UAGCGUAGGGCGCAAGCGUUAUCCGGAAUUAUUGGGCGUAAAGAGCUCGUAGGCGGUUUUGUCGCGUCUGCCGUGAAAAGUCCGGGGGCUCAACUCCGGAUCUGCGGUGGGGUACGGGCAGACUAGAGUGAUGUAGGGGGAGACUGGAAUUCCUGGAUGUAGCGGUGAAAUGCGCAGAUAUCAGGAGGAACACCGAUGGCGAAGGCAGGUCUCUGGGCAUUAAACUGACGCUGGAGGAGCGAAAAGCCAUGGGGAGCGAAACAGG
rnacentral:rRNA from 1 species